CCUACGGGAGGCAGCAGUGGGGAAUAUUGCACAAUGGGCGAAAGCCUGAUGCAGCAACGCCGCGUGAGCGAUGAAGGCCUUCGGGUCGUAAAGCUCUGUCCUCAAGGAAGAUAAUGACGGUACUUGAGGAGGAAGCCCCGGCUAACUACGUGCCAGCAGCCGCGGUAAUACGUAGGGGGCUAGCGGUAUCCGGAAUUACUGGGCGUAAAGGGGGCGUAGGUGGUUUCUUAAGUCAGAGGUGAAAUGCUACGGCCCAACCGUCGGAAGCCCUUUAAACGGGGGAACUUGAGUGCAGGGGGGGAGAGUGGAAUUCCUAGUGUAGCGGUGAAAUGCGUAGAUAUUAGGAGGAACACCAGUUGCGAAGGCGGCUCUCUGGACUGUAACUGACACUGAGGCACGAAAGCGUGGGGAGCAAACAGGAUUAGAUACCCGGGUAGUC
rnacentral:rRNA from 1 species